rnacentral:lncRNA from 1 species
UCGAAUGAAUCAAAUGCAUUCCAAGAAUCCGCUGCUUGCCCAUCAAAGUUUUCAUCUAAAAUUUCCUUCUUUUUUUCUUAAGUUUAAAUGGAUUUAUAAAAGAAAAUGGGUGGUCGGCCUAAUAUUGCAAUUCUUUGAUACAGAGUAAAAUGAAUCAAGGAAUCUAUCGUUAGGCCAAAGCGAAGAACCGUAUACAUACUCAAAACUCGUGUAUGUAUACUCUACCUUCAGCUCCGUUUUUUUCUUACUAGAAACAUUUUGCGGUGACAAGGUAGAUACAGUCAAUUCAUUAUUCGUAGCUUUUUUGGCAUCUCCCUUCUCAAUUUUAUUUUUUUAUUUUAUUUUAAUAAGCUCGGUUUGGUAUUGGCAUGGAGGUGGAUGGAUGAUGAAAUAAAUCAGACGGAUUCCCAAUGAUUUUGUUUUAAUCAAAAUAUGAUAUUAACAACCAGCUACUUCUGACUCCACUCCAUGGCAUGAUUUAUUUAAAAAAAAAAUUAUUCUUUUUUUUUUCUUUAUUUGGGAUUGAUUUGGCCGGUGAUGUAAUAACAAAUAUUUGCUACUCUUGAUUGGGGGAUUUGUUUUACAAACUAAUUCUUCACUGAUGAUUCACAUCCACCAAGAUCUCUGAGGCCAUAACAUUUUAAUUUAUUAAUGCGGAGAUUAAAGAUUUGCUUUACAAAAGUUUUUUUUUUUUUUUUUAAUCUUUUCUCGUUUAUGGAAAUAAGAAGCUCUUUUAUCUUUUUGCUAUGCUGCAGAUAAAAAAUUUACUGUAAAUGAUAUUUAAUUAUUUCCAUCCGAACUUCCCCUUUAAGCUGGACUCAGGUUUUGAAGACUAUACAUUGGUAGCCAGGCAAUUCACAUUGGAAACUCUUAAGAGGCAAAUCCCAUAAUUUUGUAAUUUACACUGUUGGGUGCUAUUGAUGAUAUGUUGUUAAUAAUUAAUUAACAGUCAAACCAUGUACAAAGUUAAAAACUGAAACAAAGAGUGGACUUCAUUGAUACGGAUGUCAUUUGCACUUGUCAUAUCAAACAUGCAGAAUGUAAGUGAGCAUGCUCAGUCCAAUAACAUUACCACCAGUUUACAAACAAUUAGCAACUCCGGAGAGUAUACAACUUUCUUAUUGUUUGUUUGUAUUGGAACAUUGGUACCUCCCCUCCUGCAAAACUAUUGCAGGGAUUUCACUUAUCUCUGGACCUGUGUAUCCGCAGUUGUGAAGUAGAGUUGGUUACCCUCUUAGUAAUUUACAGUUGAUUUGAUUGCAUCUAAUAUCUGCAUCCAAAAUCAGGAACGGGAUUCUCGUUAGCUACCGUGAGCUGUAAGAUUCAUGCAACAAUGCUGUGUAGGAACUUUGAAGGAUUCAAGACAACUUGCCUUAUUCUUGG